rnacentral:rRNA from 1 species
UCCAGACUCCUACGGGAGGCAGCAGUGGGGAAUAUUGGGCAAUGGGCGCAAGCCUGACCCAGCAACGCCGCGUGAAGGAAGAAGGCUUUCGGGUUGUAAACUUCUUUUGACAGGGAAGAGCAGAAGACGGUACCUGUCGAAUAAGCUCCGGCUAACUACGUGCCAGCAGCCGCGGUAAUACGUAGGGAGCAAGCGUUAUCCGGAUUUACUGGGUGUAAAGGGCGUGUAGGCGGGCAUGCAAGCCAGAAGUGAAAUCUGGGGGCUUAACCCCCAAACUGCUUUUGGAACUGCGUGUCUUGAGUGAUGGAGAGGCAGGCGGAAUUCCCAGUGUAGCGGUGAAAUGCGUAGAUAUUGGGAGGAACACCAGUGGCGAAGGCGGCCUGCUGGACAUUAACUGACGCUGAGGCGCGAAAGCGUGGGGAGCAAACAGGAUUAGAUCCCCCCGUA